rnacentral:rRNA from 1 species
GGUUAAGCGACUAAGCGUACACGGUGGAUGCCCUGGCAGUCAGAGGCGAUGAAGGACGUGCUAAUCUGCGAUAAGCGUCGGUAAGGUGAUAUGAACCGUUAUAACCGGCGAUUUCCGAAUGGGGAAACCCAGUGUGAUUCGACACACUAUCAUUAACUGAAUCCAUAGGUUAAUGAGGCGAACCGGGGGAACUGAAACAUCUAAGUACCCCGAGGAAAAGAAAUCAACCGAGAUUCCCCCAGUAGCGGCGAGCGAACGGGGAGGAGCCCAGAGCCUGAAUCAGUGUGUGUGUUAGUGGAAGCGUCUGGAAAGGCGCGCGAUACAGGGUGACAGCCCCGUACACAAAAAUGCACAUGCUGUGAGCUCGAUGAGUAGGGCGGGACACGUGGUAUCCUGUCUGAAUAUGGGGGGACCAUCCUCCAAGGCUAAAUACUCCUGACUGACCGAUAGUGAACCAGUACCGUGAGGGAAAGGCGAAAAGAACCCCGGCGAGGGGAGUGAAAAAGAACCUGAAACCGUGUACGUACAAGCAGUGGGAGCCUCUUAAUGGGGUGACUGCGUACCUUUUGUAUAAUGGGUCAGCGACUUAUAUUCUGUAGCAAGGUUAACCGAAUAGGGGAGCCGAAGGGAAACCGAGUCUUAACUGGGCGUUAAGUUGCAGGGUAUAGACCCGAAACCCGGUGAUCUAGCCAUGGGCAGGUUGAAGGUUGGGUAACACUAACUGGAGGACCGAACCGACUAAUGUUGAAAAAUUAGCGGAUGACUUGUGGCUGGGGGUGAAAGGCCAAUCAAACCGGGAGAUAGCUGGUUCUCCCCGAAAGCUAUUUAGGUAGCGCCUCGUGAAUUCAUCUCCGGGGGUAGAGCACUGUUUCGGCAAGGGGGUCAUCCCGACUUACCAACCCGAUGCAAACUGCGAAUACCGGAGAAUGUUAUCACGGGAGACACACGGCGGGUGCUAACGUCCGUCGUGAAGAGGGAAACAACCCAGACCGCCAGCUAAGGUCCCAAAGUCAUGGUUAAGUGGGAAACGAUGUGGGAAGGCCCAGACAGCCAGGAUGUUGGCUUAGAAGCAGCCAUCAUUUAAAGAAAGCGUAAUAGCUCACUGGUCGAGUCGGCCUGCGCGGAAGAUGUAACGGGGCUAAACCAUGCACCGAAGCUGCGGCAGCGACACUAUGUGUUGUUGGGUAGGGGAGCGUUCUGUAAGCCUGUGAAGGUGUGCUGUGAGGCAUGCUGGAGGUAUCAGAAGUGCGAAUGCUGACAUAAGUAACGAUAAAGCGGGUGAAAAGCCCGCUCGCCGGAAGACCAAGGGUUCCUGUCCAACGUUAAUCGGGGCAGGGUGAGUCGACCCCUAAGGCGAGGCCGAAAGGCGUAGUCGAUGGGAAACAGGUUAAUAUUCCUGUACUUGGUGUUACUGCGAAGGGGGGACGGAGAAGGCUAUGUUGGCCGGGCGACGGUUGUCCCGGUUUAAGCGUGUAGGCUGGUUUUCCAGGCAAAUCCGGAAAAUCAAGGCUGAGGCGUGAUGACGAGGCACUACGGUGCUGAAGCAACAAAUGCCCUGCUUCCAGGAAAAGCCUCUAAGCAUCAGGUAACAUCAAAUCGUACCCCAAACCGACACAGGUGGUCAGGUAGAGAAUACCAAGGCGCUUGAGAGAACUCGGGUGAAGGAACUAGGCAAAAUGGUGCCGUAACUUCGGGAGAAGGCACGCUGAUAUGUAGGUGAAGCGACUUGCUCGUGGAGCUGAAAUCAGUCGAAGAUACCAGCUGGCUGCAACUGUUUAUUAAAAACACAGCACUGUGCAAACACGAAAGUGGACGUAUACGGUGUGACGCCUGCCCGGUGCCGGAAGGUUAAUUGAUGGGGUUAGCGGUAACGCGAAGCUCUUGAUCGAAGCCCCGGUAAACGGCGGCCGUAACUAUAACGGUCCUAAGGUAGCGAAAUUCCUUGUCGGGUAAGUUCCGACCUGCACGAAUGGCGUAAUGAUGGCCAGGCUGUCUCCACCCGAGACUCAGUGAAAUUGAACUCGCUGUGAAGAUGCAGUGUACCCGCGGCAAGACGGAAAGACCCCGUGAACCUUUACUAUAGCUUGACACUGAACAUUGAGCCUUGAUGUGUAGGAUAGGUGGGAGGCUUUGAAGUGUGGACGCCAGUCUGCAUGGAGCCGACCUUGAAAUACCACCCUUUAAUGUUUGAUGUUCUAACGUUGGCCCCUAAUCGGGGUUGCGGACAGUGUCUGGUGGGUAGUUUGACUGGGGCGGUCUCCUCCUAAAGAGUAACGGAGGAGCACGAAGGUUGGCUAAUCCUGGUCGGACAUCAGGAGGUUAGUGCAAUGGCAUAAGCCAGCUUGACUGCGAGCGUGACGGCGCGAGCAGGUGCGAAAGCAGGUCAUAGUGAUCCGGUGGUUCUGAAUGGAAGGGCCAUCGCUCAACGGAUAAAAGGUACUCCGGGGAUAACAGGCUGAUACCGCCCAAGAGUUCAUAUCGACGGCGGUGUUUGGCACCUCGAUGUCGGCUCAUCACAUCCUGGGGCUGAAGUAGGUCCCAAGGGUAUGGCUGUUCGCCAUUUAAAGUGGUACGCGAGCUGGGUUUAGAACGUCGUGAGACAGUUCGGUCCCUAUCUGCCGUGGGCGCUGGAGAACUGAGGGGGGCUGCUCCUAGUACGAGAGGACCGGAGUGGACGCAUCACUGGUGUUCGGGUUGUCAUGCCAAUGGCACUGCCCGGUAGCUAAAUGCGGAAGAGAUAAGUGCUGAAAGCAUCUAAGCACGAAACUUGCCCCGAGAUGAGUUCUCCCUGAGACUUAGAGUCUCCUGAAGGAACGUUGAAGACGACGACGUUGAUAGGCCGGGUGUGUAAGCGCAGCGAUGCGUUGAGCUAACCGGUACUAAUGAACCGUGAGGCUUAACCUU